rnacentral:rRNA from 1 species
UACGUAGGGGGCUAGCGUUGUCCGGAAUCAUUGGGCGUAAAGCGCGUGUAGGCGGCCCGAUAAGUCCGCUGUGAAAGUCGGGGGCUCAACCCUCGAAAGCCGGUGGAUACUGUCGGGCUAGAGUACGGAAGAGGCGAGUGGAAUUCCUGGUGUAGCGGUGAAAUGCGCAGAUAUCAGGAGGAACACCCAUUGCGAAGGCAGCUCGCUGGGACGUUACUGACGCUGAGACGCGAAAGCGUGGGGAGCGAUCCGG